AUUGAACGCUGGCGGCAUGCUUUACACAUGCAAGUCGAACGGCAGCGGGGGCUUCGGCCUGCCGGCGAGUGGCGAACGGGUGAGUAAUGCAUCGGAACGUGCCCAUGUCGUGGGGGAUAACGUAGCGAAAGUUACGCUAAUACCGCAUAUUCUGUGAGCAGGAAAGCAGGGGAUCGCAAGACCUUGCGCUGAUUGAGCGGCCGAUGUCAGAUUAGCUAGUUGGUGAGGUAAAGGCUCACCAAGGCGACGAUCUGUAGCGGGUCUGAGAGGAUGAUCAGCCACACUGGGACUGAGACACGGCCCAGACUCCUACGGGAGGCAGCAGUGGGGAAUAUUGGACAAUGGGCGAAAGCCUGAUCCAGCAAUGCCGCGUGGAUGAAGAAGGUCUUCGGAUUGUAAAGUCCUUUCGGCGGGCGAUGAUGACGGUACCCGCAGAAGAAGCCCCGGCAACUUCGUGCCAGCAGCCG
rnacentral:rRNA from 1 species